rnacentral:rRNA from 1 species
GACGAACGCUGGCGGCGUGCUUAACACAUGCAAGUCGAACGGUAAGGCCCUUCGGGGUACACGAGUGGCGAACGGGUGAGUAACACGUGGGUGAUCUGCCCUGCACUUUGGGAUAAGCCUGGGAAACUGGGUCUAAUACCGAAUACACCCUGCUGGUCGCAUGGCCUGGUGGGGGAAAGCUUUUGCGGUGUGGGAUGGGCCCGCGGCCUAUCAGCUUGUUGGUGGGGUGAUGGCCUACCAAGGCGACGACGGGUAGCCGGCCUGAGAGGGUGACAGGCCACACUGGGACGGAGAUACGGCUCAGACUCCUACGGGAGGCAGCAGUGGGGAAUAUUGCACAAUGGGCGCAAGCCUGAUGCAGCGACGCCGCGUGAGGGAUGACGGCCUUCGGGUUGUAAACCUCUUUCAAUAGGGACGAAGCGCAAGUGACGGUACCUAUAGAAGAAGGACCGGCCAACUACGUGCCAGCAGCCGCGGUAA